UUAAGAUCCUUCUAGAAGGCAGUGGAGACAGCUACAUUGAUUGGGACACCUGAAGCCAAUCAAGGGCUGGCUGGAACCAGUUAAAAAGCCUCCCAGUUAGUCAGUGAGGUGUGGGCAUCAGGAGCUAUAGGAGGGAGCUGUGCUGUUGGAGGAAUGAAGCAGUACAAAUCCAUAUCAGGUGUAAGGAAGGAGGCCCUGAGGAACAGACACCCCAGUGGAAUGAUGGUUCAAUGUGAUGAACAGUGUUGGGAGUGAAGAGAAAGGUCACCAUCAAAAAGAACGUAGACACCAUUAAAGGUGUUCUUUUCCUCAAAGGACACUAGAAGGCAAGCCUACAACGACUGGGAGAUCAUAAACAAAAAAAUGAAAAAGCAAGGUGAAAGUGACAGGGCAGGUACUUGGUUUGCCAACCACAGAAAGGAGGAUUUCUAUGGAGUAGCUGACCCUGAAGAGAAGCGUGACUUUGCUGGAGCUG